rnacentral:rRNA from 1 species
UAUUGGACAAUGGGGGCAACCCUGAUCCAGCAAUGCCGCGUGUGUGAAGAAGGCCUUCGGGUUGUAAAGCACUUUAGGUGGGGAAGAAGGUGAGUAUUUUAAGAGAUAAUUCAUUUGACGGUACCCGCAGAAUAAGCACCGGCUAACUCUGUGCCAGCAGCCGCGGUAAUACAGAGGGUGCAAGCGUUAAUCGGAUUUACUGGGCGUAAAGGGCGCGUAGGUGGUUGAUUAAGUGAGAUGUGAAAUCCCCGGGCUUAACCUGGGAACUGCAUCUUAUACUGGUCAGCUGGAGUGAAGUAGAGGGUAGUGGAAUUUCCGGUGUAGCGGUGAAAUGCGUAGAUAUCGGAAGGAACACCAGUGGCGAAGGCGGCUACCUGGACUUACACUGACACUGAGGCGCGAGA